CAAUUAAUAAAUUACAUUUAUCUCUGUUUUGAACUAAUACAGUGGUCUCUUUUAUUUUGAAAAAGUCAACAUUUUCGUGACCCGGAAGUGUUUCUUUAAUAUUGCUUACAAGACGUUGAUGACGCUGAUUGGAGAAGAUGGUUCUCGACCUUUUCACUUUAAAUAGUGAUUACAGUGUGUGAUUAAUGAAAGUGGUUGCUCUUAAUCAACUAUGCUGUCAGAAGAUCUUCCCUGGAUUCCUGCCACUUACGACAUAUUAACAAGGAGCAGUGGAUACAUAUCCGGAAUUGUAAAAUCUACAGAAGAACUGGACAUCUUACUAGAAAAUCACAAGCGAGCAACUUGUAGCGCUUUCAUUAAAUGGUCUGACCACAUAAAAGAUGCUAGUAAACGGAGACUGCUUUGGCAAGUGGAGGACUACGCAGAGGAUGUUCCCCUUUAUGUGGUCAAAAGAGUUACGCUUGCUUGCCAACAUGGCAAAGCACCAAACAGAAGACUUUCUACAGCUACGGAACAUUCUUCAGAAAAUGGAAGCUGCAAGAAGAGGCUCCGUAAGAGACUGAAGAAAUUGGGCUGUCCGGCAAAACUUUUCAUUCGUCACGUGACCAGCUGAGGUGUGUGAUCCUUUGCUGUCCUUAAAUGCCCCAAAACCUUUCUCAGAUGGAUGAAGAUCUCGUACAGUGGAUUGUACAAGAAAUCACCCCCUUGGACUGAUUUGUGAUUUAUUGCAAUUUUCUGAACUAUUUACACAAAAUGAUCUUGUGUAAUUUUUUAGGGGGGCCUUCUAUUGUUUAUUUUUCUGCUGAAAGUUUAAUUCAGGUCCCAGCGUCUGAAUGAGGUUUUCCUCUUGGAUUUUGCUUGUCCUUAUCUGCAUCAGUUUUUUAAUCUAAAAAAGUUCUCAGUCUGUGACGAUGCCAUGCACUACCCACCCCAUAAUGCCACCAGCAUACAUGAAGGUUGGGAGGCACUUACUCAGUAAUGGGUUAUUUAUUUUUAUGUUUUUUAUCUUUUGACAUUUCUUUGCUGUUUUUAGUGCCUUGUUUGUAUGUAAGGUGCCUGUUUUACAAUAGUUAUAUUCUAUACAUUUGUAGUGAUUAUUGUCACUCGGUUAUUUAGAAUGACCCCCCCCCCCCCCCUUUAAAAAUAUUUGAAUCUUGAAAAGCAGAUGUUCCAUGUAUCUGUUGUAUAUUUAAGGAAUAAUGCAUGAGGGUGUGUGAUAUAUGAUCAAUACGCCACUGUGCUUGUUAUAUUGGCCAAAUACCAAAAACCCUUGGUAUAGGCCAGGGUUUGCCUUAUUGCAGUUAUGAACUGGUUACAAAACCAGUUGGAGUAAUAAAAAGUUAUGUCAUGACAUAUACGUCAUAUGUUCUCAUAUACCAGUGCUAACACCCAAUCAGCAUUCAGGAUUCAAACUACCUGGUUGAUAAUGUCAGAUAUACCACAGCUUUCAGAUAAUUGGCAUCCAGGACUGCUCAGGAGAACCUGCUGUGGACUGUUGAUAUUGAUAUAUUUACAUUUAAGCAUGGGGAUCAGAAAUACAGUGUAGACAUUGGUAAUCUUGUAUGUUGAAUAUUGUAGCUGAUUUUUAAUGGAAUACCUAGCUAGGCGUACAGAAGCCCAUUAUCAGCAACCAUCAGUCCUGUGUUCAAAUGGCAUGUUGUGUUUGCUAAUCCAAGUUUAGCAUUUUAACAGGCUAAUUGAUUAUUAGCCUUUUGCAAUUUUUGGCACAGCUGGAAACUAUUUUGCUGAUUAAAGAAGCAAUAAAACUGAUUGUUGAGUAUCUGGAGCAUCAGCAAUUGUGGAAUCAAUUGCAGCCUCAAAAUGGCCAGAAACAAAGAAUUGACUUUUGAAACAUGUCAAUAUGUAAUUCAACCAUGAAUUCCAUAUUUUCCAAGAUAAUUCUUGGAGAGAAUGUAAGGUCAGCUGUCAAAAAGCACAGAUCUAACCCUAUUUAAAUGCUCUGGGGGGCCAUGCAUGCAAGAAAGAACUUAAACAAGACACAGUUGAAGCAGUGCUGUGAAAAGUGGCCAACAGUUACUCCUAC
ensembl:lncRNA